rnacentral:rRNA from 1 species
UACAGAGGGUGCGAGCGUUGUCCGGAAUCACUGGGCGUAAAGGGCGCGUAGGCGGCCCGAUAAGUAGGGGGUGAAAUCUUGCGGCUCAACCGCAAGGCUGCCUUCUAAACUGUCGGGCUGGAGCACGGUAGAGGCAGAUGGAAUUCCCGGUGUAGCGGUGGAAUGCGUAGAGAUCGGGAAGAACACCAGUGGCGAAGGCGGUCUGCUGGGCCGUUGCUGACGCUGAGGCGCGACAGCGUGGGGAGCAAAC